AUCUGUUUUAAAUUUUUUUUUUGGUCUCACGUAUUGAUUAGUUUUCUCUCUCCGGCACCAAUUUCAGCUGCCCUCUCUUCCUUCACAUCUCCUAUUUCUCUCCCUCUAGCAGCUCAAUAAUUUGAGUGAGAAGAGAAAACGGAAGUUAUAGAGAGUUCAAGUCAGACCAGGCUACCCAAAUCGUGCUGCACGAUUGUAUUCAAUGGAUAGUCAUGGUUUGCCAACUCUCUCCUCAAAACCCAAGAUAAAUAGUAGAAAGAAGAGGAAAAGUGACGGGGAGCAUGCUAAGGCUUUUAAGAAAAUGAAAGGGCUGAAGCAAGACUCGAAGAAUCUUGAUAAAGUAACCGCACAGCUGAGCAACAUAGUGGAAAACCAAGAAAAUCUCAUGGAUAACUUAUUGCAUCAGCUGAUGGUUCAUCUCUCUCCCCUAGUUCGAUCGUUUUACCCUUUCCCUUAAACUUGGAUCUGAUGAACUCGAGCUGGAAUCUGCUAUCUCAUGUCCAGGAGGUUCCAAUUGGGAUGUCUAUAUGUCGGAAACAAAAGAACCUGUAGACAUCAUCUCUCUUUUGAAAUAUCGCAGCAAGAUGGUUGACAGACGAAUUCAAAUUUUGUACGAGAUGAUGUUCAAAUGAUAAUUUUCAUGUCAGUAGACGGUUGUACUGUUCUAUUCUAAAACUCCCUAACUUUUGGACUUCAUACUCCUAGUUUUUUGAAUAGCUGUCCUAUGAGUUUCACUGUUCGUCUACAUAUAUUUAACAAUCUCUCAAUAAUUCAGGAAUUGAUCAGGCAUA